rnacentral:rRNA from 1 species
AUUAAAUGGCCGCAGUAUAUUAACUGUGCAAAGGUAGCAUAAUCAUUAGUCUUUUAAUUGAAGGCUUGUAUGAAUGGUUGGACGAGAUAUUAACUGUUUCAUAAAAAAUUAUAUUAAAAUUUUAUUUUUUAGUAAAAAAGCUAAAAUUUAUUUAAAAGACGAGAAGACCCUAUAAAUCUUUAUAUUAAAAUUAUUAUAAUUUUAUAGAUUAAUUUUAUUAUAAUAAUAAGUUAUAUUUUAUUGGGGUGAUAUUAAAAUUUAAUGAACUUUUAAUUUUGUUAUNCANUAAUUUAUGAAUAAUUGAUCCAUUAU